AUUGAACGCUGGCGGCAGGCCUAACACAUGCAAGUCGAACGAGUGGCGGACGGGUGAGUAAUGUCUGGGAAACUGCCUGAUGGAGGGGGAUAACUACUGGAAACGGUAGCUAAUACCGCAUACCAUCGGAUGUGCCCAGCGGGGAUUAGCUAGUAGGUGGGGUAACGGCUCACCUAGGCGACGAUCCCUAGCUGGUCUGAGAGGAGGACCAGCCACACUGGAACUGUGACACGGUCAAGACUCCUACGGCAGGACGCAGCGGGGAAUAUUGCACAUUGGGCGGAACCCUGAUGAAGCCAUGCCGCGUGUAUGAAGAAGGCCUUCGGUUUUUAAAGUACUUUCAGCGGGGAGGCGUUACCCGCAGAAGAAGCACCGGCUAACUCCGGGCCAGCCGCCGCGUAAUAC
rnacentral:rRNA from 1 species